rnacentral:tRNA from 1 species
GCGGGUUUAGCUCAGUUGGCUAGAGCGCCACGUUGCCAACGUGGAGGUCGAGGGUUCGAACCCCUUAACCCGCU